CAGUCAUAGCCACCAAACUUCAUUGUAGAACCUUAUAUUUUCAAUCUUGCCGCCACCAAACCUCAACUGACGCACUCUCACGUUGCCAUUGCAUCUCAACUUCGCCGACUUCGCAACUCUCGCGUAUGAGCUUCGCGAUGUUCUCGACCUUAGGUGCCGUUCAUAUUUCUCGUGUAUGAGUCUCGAUUCGACGUCUCCAUCUCGCAAUAUUUAAGGUCUCAGUAAACGUCAUUUCGCAGUUCUUCUUUCCUCAAUAUAAUUUGUGCCUUACAAAUUUCAUGUGGUUUACUAAUUUUUACUUGUAUUUGCAGCUUGAAUGAGAGUAUUAGAUGAAUCCUAUGGUUCUAGGUUUAUUCCAAUUUUUAUGUUGAGUAUUAUGUGAAACUCGUUUAGCCCUUCUGCGAAGAUUCCAACCUAUUUCCAUGUAUUUCCUCUCCGUUUGUCAAAAUGUUCGCCUCCGAAUUUCAAUUCAUGUCUCAAUUUUUUCAUCAUCGGAAUUGUUUAUUACUUACUUUAUUAUGUCAUUGUUAUCAACUCGAUUAAUAUCUAUCUCUUUUGUUACAAUUGUAGAAUGAAUGGAUAGAUGUUAGUGCUGAUAGAAAAUUAGAUUUAUAAGAUACUGUUUUGUUCUAAUGCAUGUUAUGGAGAUUUUUUUGUUGCAUAUAAGGUGUUUGAUUUUAGUUUCCAUUUAAUUUUCACAUUCUGAAAAUAUAUUUUAUGUUUCCGAUAUUGGUUGAUUUAUUGAACAAGAUAUAUGGGGUUUUCUAGCAAACACUAAAGGUUGACUUUUUUGAGUUUGCUUAGAACAAAGAAAUAUAAAUAAGUUGUAAUUUACUUGAUAUUAGAUGCAUUUAAAAAAACUUGAUAUAAAAUAGAUGCAUUUGUUAUUUCACUGUGUUUCUUAUCCUUGAAUUUUUGCUACAUCUACUUGUUUUAGAAUGCAACUCUUUGUUAACAAAGAAGAACCCUCAUUGUCCUUUGCUUCGUGACCAUAAUGGCAGUUCAAGUGGUUCUAUUUAGUGUUUUGCAUUGUAAGUGAAUGUCACUUGAUCAAAUCUAAUUUUCUAUCAGCUUUGCUACAUCAUUGUAAGUUCCUGACAUGCUUUUAUCAUCAAAUCUAUGUUUCUGAACUCUUCUAACACCUUUUGUUGGCUCUAAGACUUUUUCCUAGAUACCUGACAUUAUGUUGACGUAUACGUUUGUUAAUUUUCCCAUUCAUCACUUCACAAGUCCUAAGCCGUAAAAAAUCAUCACUUCACAAUUAAACUCCAUUCAUCCGGUUUUAGGGUCAUUCUGUUGUAUCUCAUCUGAGAAAUUUGCAUGUCCACUAGAUAGCUCAACUGAAUCAUUUCCUACUGAUAUCCCUUUAUCAGAACUUUCAUGUAAGUCGUUUGUGUUAAGGUGUGAAAGAGUAGAAUCUGCAAGAGCCUCUUCACUUGAGUUAAUUGUGUUCAUUUGAUGAAAAAUGAAUAUAAUAAAAUAUAAUAUGAAAAGCUGGGUAACAGCUUCAAGAAGGCCAAAUCUGUUUUAAUUAGCAAGAUAGGCUGUGAUGAGCAUAAGAGUUUGUGCAGCAAAUAUGGAGUCUCAUGGUACCCAACAAUUCAGUGGUUUCCAAAAGGAUCUCUAGAACCCAAAAAGAAAGUUGGAAGGUCAUGCUCUUCAUCAUAGGAAAUGAAACUUUUAAGAAAUUGGGAGCAAUUGGAACAUCAGUAAACUUGUUGGUCAAUCUUACGUAUUCAACCUGAACAACAUCACAGCUGCAAAUAUCAUCAACAUAUUCAAUGGCAACACCAACCUUGCUACUUUACUUGGUGCUUUCUUUUAUGAUACAUUUUUUGGUCGCUACAACACAUUAGCAUUAUGCACUAUCACUUCCUUUCUGGUAUUAAUUUAAUAGAUAAAUAAUUCAUUUCACGCAAAGAAAAAAAAUCAAUAAAUUGUGCUAAAUUUUCUAUGAAUCACUACAUUUUUAAUUCUAUUUUCAUGCAUCUAAUAGGGAUUGCUUGCAAAUGACAAUAUUAGCUUAAUAGACACUAUUCAACAAAGUUCUAUGAAUCACUACACUUUUGUGUUUUUGUGUC